AUGAACGCUGGCGGCAUGCCUAACACAUGCAAGUCGAACGAAGCCUUCGGGCUUAGUGGCGCACGGGUGCGUAACGCGUGGGAAUCUGCCCCUUGGUUCGGAAUAACAGUUAGAAAUGACUGCUAAUACCGGAUAACGACGUAAGUCCAAAGAUUUAUCGCCAUAUGGAGGGGUCUGCGUCGGAUUAGCUUGUUGGUGGGGUAACGGCCUACCAAGGCGACGAUCCGUAGCUGGUCUGAGAGGAUGAUCAGCCACACUGGGACUGAGACACGGCCCAGACUCCUACGGGAGGCAGCAGUGGGGAAUAUUGCGCAAUGGGGGAAACCCUGACGCAGCGACGCCGCGUGGGUGAAGAAGGCCUUAGGGUUGUAAAGCCCUUUCAGUGGGAAAGAUUGUGACGGUACCCACAGAAGAAGCUCCGGCUAACUCCGU
rnacentral:rRNA from 1 species